GAUGAACGCUGGCGGCGUGCCUAAUACAUGCAAGUCGAGCGAAUGGAUUAAGAGCUUGCUCUUAUGAAGUUAGCGGCGGACGGGUGAGUAACACGUGGGUAACCUGCCCAUAAGACUGGGAUAACUCCGGGAAACCGGGGCUAAUACCGGAUAACAUUUUGAACCGCAUGGUUCGAAAUUGAAAGGCGGCUUCGGCUGUCACUUAUGGAUGGACCCGCGUCGCAUUAGCUAGUUGGUGUGGUAACGGCUCACCAAGGCAACGAUGCGUAGCCGACCUGAGAGGGUGAUCGGCCACACUGGGACUGAGACACGGCCCAGACUCCUACGGGAGGCAGCAGUAGGGAAUCUUCCGCAAUGGACGAAAGUCUGACGGAGCAACGCCGCGUGAGUGAUGAAGGCUUUCGGGUCGUAAAACCCUGUUGUUAGGGAAGAACAAGUGCUAGUUGAAUAAGCUGGCACCUUGACGGUACCUAACCAGAAAGCCACGACUAACUACGUGCCAGCCGCCGCGGUAA
rnacentral:rRNA from 1 species